GUAACCACUAAUUUAGUCCUGGGGUAGAAGGCAAAGAUAGGAUGAGGGUCAUACAGUCCCUUACACAGAACUCAGCCCACGCCUCCAAGACUCCCUGGGGAGACAGCCGAGCUCUCACCUCUGUGCCUGCCCCUGCCACCAUGGUUUCACUGAUCUCUGCAAUGUAGAGUGGAUUAUCGGUGCCGAGCCUAAGCCAGUAAUAAAGGGCCAGGUGAAGAAUAAAACAGAGAUG